CCUACGGGAGGCAGCAGUGGGGAAUAUUGCGCAAUGGGCGAAAGCCUGACGCAGCGACGCCGCGUGAGGGAUGAAGGUCCUCGGAUUGUAAACCUCCGUUAGCAGGGAAGAACGGUCACUGUGCUAAUCAGCAGUGAAUUGACGGUACCUGCAAAGGAAGCACCGGCUAACUCCGUGCCAGCAGCCGCGGUAAUACGGAGGGUGCGAGCGUUAAUCGGAAGUACUGGGCGUAAAGCGCUCGUAGGCGGUAUGUCAAGUCAAGGGUGAAAUCCCCGCGCUCAACGUGGGGACUGCCUUUGAAACUGGCAAACUGGAGUGUGUGAGAGGAUAGUGGAAUUCCUGGUGUAGGAGUGAAAUCCGUAGAUAUCUGGAGGAACAUCAGUGGCGAAGGCGACUAUCUGGCACAUAACUGACGCUGAGGAGCGAAAGCGUGGGUAGCAAACAGGAUUAGAUACCCUUGUAGUC
rnacentral:rRNA from 1 species